rnacentral:rRNA from 1 species
CCUUUUGUAUAAUGGGUCAGCGACUUAUAUUCUGUAGCAAGGUUAACCGAAUAGGGGAGCCGAAGGGAAACCGAGUCUUAACUGGGCGUUAAGUUGCAGGGUAUAGACCCGAAACCCGGUGAUCUAGCCAUGGGCAGGUUGAAGGUUGGGUAACACUAACUGGAGGACCGAACCGACUAAUGUUGAAAAAUUAGCGGAUGACUUGUGGCUGGGGGUGAAAGGCCAAUCAAACCGGGAGAUAGCUGGUUCUCCCCGAAAGCUAUUUAGGUAGCGCCUCGUGAAUUCAUCUCCGGGGGUAGAGCACUGUUUCGGCAAGGGGGUCAUCCCGACUUACCAACCCGAUGCAAACUGCGAAUACCGGAGAAUGUUAUCACGGGAGACACACGGCGGGUGCUAACGUCCGUCGUGAAGAGGGAAACAACCCAGACCGCCAGCUAAGGU